GUACGUACAAGCAGUGGGAGCACCCUUUGGGUGUGACUGCGUACCUUUUGUAUAAUGGGUCAGCGACUUAUAUUCUGUAGCAAGGUUAACCGAAUAGGGGAGCCGGAGGGAAACCGAGUCUUAACCGGGCGUUAAGUUGCAGGGUAUAGACCCGAAACCCGGUGAUCUAGCCAUGGGCAGGUUGAAGGUUGGGUAACACUAACUGGAGGACCGAACCGACUAAUGUUGAAAAAUUAGCGGAUGACCUGUGGCUGGGGGUGAAAGGCCAAUCAAACCGGGAGAUAGCUGGUUCUCCCCGAAAGCUAUUUAGGUAGCGCCUCGUGAAUUCAUCUCCGGGGGUAGAGCACUGUUUCGGCUAGGGGGCCAUCCCGGCUUACCAACCCGAUGCAAACUGCGAAUACCGGAGAAUGUUAUCACGGGAGACACACGGCGGGUGCUAACGUCCGUCGUGAAGAGGGAAACAACCCAGACCGCCAGCUAAGGUCCCAAAGUCAUGGUUAAGUGGGAAACGAUGUGGGAAGGCCCAGACAGCCAGGAUGUUGGCUUAGAAGCAGCCAUCAUUUAAAGAAAGCGUAAUAGCUCACUGGUCGAGUCGGCCUGCGCGGAAGAUGUAACGGGGCUAAACCAUG
rnacentral:rRNA from 1 species